AUUGAACGCUGGCGGCAGGCCUAACACAUGCAAGUCGAACGGUAACAGGAAGCAGCUUGCCGCUUCGCUGACGAGUGGCGGACGGGUGAGUAAUGUCUGGGAAACUGCCUGAUGGAGGGGGAUAACUACUGGAAACGGUAGCUAAUACCGCAUAACGUCGCAAGACCAAAGAGGGGGACCUUCGGGCCUCUUGCCAUCGGAUGUGCCCAGAUGGGAUUAGCUAGUAGGUGGGGUAACGGCUCACCUAGGCGACGAUCCCUAGCUGGUCUGAGAGGAUGACCAGCCACACUGGAACUGAGCCACGGUCCAGACUCCUACGGGAGGCAGCAGUGGGGAAUAUUGCACAAUGGGCGCAAGCCUGAUGCAGCCAUGCCGCGUGUAUGAAGAAGGCCUUCGGGUUGUAAAGUACUUUCAGCGGGGAGGAAGGCGAUAAGGUUAAUAACCUUGUCGAUUGACGUUACCCGCAGAAGAAGCACCGGCUAACUCCGUGCCAGCAGCCGCCGUAA
rnacentral:rRNA from 1 species